GCGAGUUUUAAUCACACCCGUCACAACCCCGCCCACUUGCAAAUUUAUUUAUUUAUUUUUAAACUAGACUAUUCAUCUAUCCUAGACAUUUUUGCCCAAAUAAACCAAACCCUAAUCUCUCAAAACAUCUAUACAGCUCUCUUCCCAUCUCACUCUCUCUCGUUUUUCAUCUGCGCAACUCUCUUCUCAUUGCAUCGAUCGACCUUUGCAAGAUUGACUCUCUCUCUCCGUCAACUCUCAACCUCUCUUCUAAACUCACUCUCUCUCGUUCUUUCCUCUCUCUCUCUCUCUCUCUGUGGCGACUAACGAAGCGACCGAUAGACCUUCGAUCGACUCUCUCUCUCUGUGGCAACUCUCAGGGAGUUAAAAUUGCAGAUCAACAUGUAUGCAUAUCAUGAUGGAGGACAUAUAUUGAUGAUCCUUGGAAUAACCCGUCAUGGAAGCUUGGAGAUGAAAAUAGCUCAACGGUAUAAACCUUCUCUUUCCCCUAUUGGUAGGUAAAGUCAUGAGUUGUCAUGAAUUGUUUAGUCUUGCUUAAAAGAGUUCCAUUAAAGAGGUAAAGCAAAUAUCUUUUGGCCAUCUUUUACAACAUAGUGAACAAACAUUCAAUAUUUGGGAAUCACCGGAUAUUAUGAAGUUUGGAAAUUAUUCCGCAAAUAGUAGCUUGUAGAAGUAGCUAGCAUAACUCUUAUAUCACUAAGUAAAAAGAGGUUAUUUUUUAAUUAUUGAGCUAUGUUACAUGGGCCAUACGAGUAUUGCGUACAACCAGUGUUGCAGCUGAUUUGGGUAGUCAUGGUGUUAAAAAGUGAAUGUUUUUGGUCAAGAAAACCCAUUUUCUGAGUGUGAUAUACGCUCAUGCUUAAACACUCUUCAGUUUCUCCACAAGAAGAAGGAAACCCUCAAUAUGGUUGGUGCUAAACAUGUUUAUGCAGUGGAAACAUCUGAAAUGCUAGCAUAUGCCUGCAAACUCACUGUAGUCACAACCAUAGAUCACCUUUCGACGAAGCUUUGGUUUGAAUCAAUUCUUCCUCAUCUGCUACAGAUUAGAUUGAGUGUAGAAGUUCCACCAGCUAUGUGUGAGGAUUGUUACAAAAGGGUCAUGAAUGAGUUCAUGAAGCAAUCAAAGGUAAUGUUGAGGGAGUAGUUGAUAUGAUUGAGCGGGUGAUAUUGAGAGCUAAACUGAGAUUUAUUUUUUUAUUUUUGUGAGUACUCAAAUACAUUAGUAUUUUGUAUAAAUACUUGUAAGGAUGGUUGAUGCAUAUUUGUUUUGCAUGUAUAGAAGCUAAAAUUUGUAGCACACUUUUUUUUUUUUUUUGAAGAUAAUUUUGUUGAGGGAAGUGAUGGAUAAUAAUACAUGAGUAUUGCAAA